GAAUUGCGAUAAGUAAUGUGAAUUGCAGAAUUCCGUGAAUCAUCAAAUCUUUGAACGCACAUUGCACCUUGAGGUAUUCCUCAAGGUAUGCCUGUUCGAGAAUCAGUAAAAUCAUCAAAGCUAGUAUUGCGAAAUACUAGUUUUGGAGUUGGGAUUUGUUGGACGUAUGUCAGACAUUCCUUAAUAACAAUUGUUGCCUUGCACUCUACUUGUUGGUGUAAUAUGCAUGACCAUUGAGCUUCAGCUCUUCUGAUUGCACUUGAGCAUUAACACGGCAGUUUGUUAGCGAACAAAUAAAAUUACACGAAGCCUUUCGGGCUUUAAGACUUGAUCUCGAAUCAGACAAGACUACCCGCUGAACUUAA
rnacentral:misc_RNA from 1 species